ACAGAGUCUGAACUGAUCCUUUACCAAAAGACUGAGUCCCUACUACAGUAGCUCGUUUAUGAUCUUGAAGAGCACCGGUAACAAUCUCACUAGCAGAGGCACUACCGUUAUUUACAAGGACACUUAUAGGGGGAUCAGUAAUAGUAUUACGUUUAUGAGCAAAUUCUCUGUCUACCCUUUGUUUUCCCCUUCCUAUAGUAGAAACAAUAAGUCCAGUAUCUAUAAACAUAUCCGAUAUCUUAACGGAUUGUUCCAGAAGUCCUCCUGGAUUAUCUC
rnacentral:ncRNA from 1 species